CAGACGGCUCAGUAACACGUAGUCAACCUAACCCAUGGAGGGGGAUAAUCUCGGGAAACUGAGGAUAAACCCUCAUAGAUAAUGGUGCCUGGAAUGGCCCAUUGUUGAAACAGUUUACUGCCGUGGGAUGGGACUGCGGCCUAUCAGCUUGUUGGUGAGGUAAUGGCCCACCAAGGCUAUAACAGGUACGGGCUCUGAGAGGAGAAGCCCGGAGAUGGGUACUGAGACACGGACCCAGGCCCUAUGGGGCGCAGCAGGCGAGAAACCUUAGCAAUGUGCGAAAGCACGACUGGGUCAGUCCGAGUGAUUUCUGAUAAAGGAAUCUUUUGCCCGUCCUAAAAGCACGGGCGAAUAAGGGGUGGGCAAGUCUGGUGUCAGCCGCCGCGGUAAUACCAGCACCUCGAGUGGUCAGGACGAUUAUUGGGCCUAAAGCAUCCGUAGCUGGUUUUGCAAGUCUCCGGUUAAAUCCACCUGCUCAACAGAUGGGCCGCUGGAGAUACUACAAGACUAGGGAGUGGGAGAGGCAGACGGUACUCGGGGGGUAGGGGUAAAAUCCUCUGAUCCUUUGAAGAACACCGGUGCCGAAGGCGGUCUGCCACAACACGUUUGACAGUGAGGCAUGAAAGCUGGAUGAACACACC
rnacentral:rRNA from 1 species